CGAUGGCAAUCGCAAACAUUAUCGCUUUAGAAAAUCAAGGGGGACUGAGGAACCCUCUCUAUAUGCGGGGUUAUUUCUUGCCCAGGAUGAGGAGGUAUCGGCCUUCCUGAACAACAUCAGAGGCAGCAGCAUGACAAGAGCAAAUGACAGUGGGAUGUGCGGCGUCUCAAGGUUCAGGGCAAGUAAGGAGACAUCAAAAAAAUCAUCCUCCAAAAUAGAUGAAGAGGGGAUUCAAGUG